rnacentral:rRNA from 1 species
UGCGGAAGGAUCAUUACAGUAUUCUUUUGCCAGCGCUUAACUGCGCGGCGAAAAACCUUACACACAGUGUCUUUUUGAUACAGAACUCUUGCUUUGGUUUGGCCUAGAGAUAGGUUGGGCCAGAGGUUUAACAAAACACAAUUUAAUUAUUUUUACAGUUAGUCAAAUUUUGAAUUAAUCUUCAAAACUUUCAACAACGGAUCUCUUGGUUCUCGCAUCGAUGAAGAACGCAGCGAAAUGCGAUAAGUAAUAUGAAUUGCAGAUUUUCGUGAAUCAUCGAAUCUUUGAACGCACAUUGCGCCCUCUGGUAUUCCAGAGGGCAUGCCUGUUUGAGCGUCAUUUCUCUCUCAAACCCCCGGGUUUGGUAUUGAGUGAUACUCUUAGUCGGACUAGGCGUUUGCUUGAAAAGUAUUGGCAUGGGUAGUACUGGAUAGUGCUGUCGACCUCUCAAUGUAUUAGGUUUAUCCAACUCGUUGAAUGGUGUGGCGGGAUAUUUCUGGUAUUGUUGGCCCGGCCUUACAACAACCAAACAAGUUUGACCUCAAAUCAGGUAGGAAUACCCGCUGAACUUAAGCAUAUCAUAAACCCGAGAGGAAGGAACAUUACGUAUUCUUUUGCCAGCGCUUAACUGCGCGGCGAA